UACGAAGGGUGCAAGCGUUAAUCGGAAUUACUGGGCGUAAAGCGUGCGCAGGCGGUUUGUUAAGUCUGUUGUGAAAUCCCCGAGCUCAACUUGGGAAUUGCAAUGGAUACUGGCAGGCUGGAGUAUGGUAGAGGAAGGUGGAAUUCCCGGUGUAGCAGUGAAAUGCGUAGAGAUCGGGAGGAACACCAGUGGCGAAGGCGGCUUGCUGGGCCUUACCUGACGCUGAGGAGCGAAAGCGUGGGGAGCGAACAGG
rnacentral:rRNA from 1 species